UACAGAGGGUGCGAGCGUUAAUCGGAGUUACUGGGCGUAAAGGGCGCGUAGGCGGUGAGAUGUGUGUGAUGUGAAAGCCCUGGGCUUAACCUGGGAAGUGCAUCGCAAACUAUCUGACUGGAGUAUAAGAGAGGGUGGCGGAAUUUCCGGUGUAGCGGUGAAAUGCGUAGAGAUCGGAAGGAACGUCAAUGGCGAAGGCAGCCACCUGGCUUAAUACUGACGCUGAGGCGCGAAAGCGUGGGGAGCGAACAGG
rnacentral:rRNA from 1 species